GACGUAGGAUGCGAGCGUUGUCCGGAUUUAUUGGGCGUAAAGAGUUCGUAGGUGGUUCGUUAAGUCUGGUGUAAAAGACUGGGGCUCAACCCUGGGAUCGCACUGGAUACUGGCGGACUGGAGUGUGGUAGAGGCAAGCGGAAUUCCCAGUGUAGCGGUGAAAAUGCGUAGAUAUUGGGGAAGAACACCGGUGGCGCAAGCGGCUUGCUGGGCCAUAACUGACACUGAGGAACGAAAGCUAGGGGAGCGAAUGGG
rnacentral:rRNA from 1 species